rnacentral:rRNA from 1 species
CCUGCUCCGUUGGACGAGACCUAACCUGCUAACUAGUCUUUCUAUUCCGAUAGACAUGACUUCUUAGAGGGACUAUGUGCUCUAAGCACAUGGAGUUUGAGGCAAUAACAGGUCUGAGAAGCCCUUAUAUGUCCUGGGCUGCACGCGUGCUACACUGAUGCAUACAACAAGUCCCAAGCCAGUCAUGGCAUGGUAAUCUCUAAUAUGCAUCGUGAUGGGGAUUGAUCUUUGCAAUUAUAGAUCAUGAACGAGGAAUUCCUAAUAAGUGCAAGUCAUCAUCGAGCAUUGAUUAUGUCCCUGCCCUUUGUACACACCGCCCGUCGCUCCUACCGAUACCGAAGGUUCGGUGAACCUUUUGGACCUCGCAAGAGGAAAAAUAAGUAAACCAUAUCACCUAGAGGAAGG